rnacentral:misc_RNA from 1 species
UACGGAGGAUCCAAGCGUUAUUCGGAAUCAUUGGGCUUAAAGCGUACGUAGGCGGGUUAAUAAGUCAGUGGUGAAAGUCCGCAGCUCAACCGUAGAACUGCCAUUGAUACUGUUAAGCUUGAGUAAUUAUGAAGUGGUUAGAAUAUGUAGUGUAGCGGUGAAAUGCAUAGAUAUUACAUAGAAUACCGAUGGCGAAGGCAGAUCACUAAUAAUUCACUGACGCUGAGGGGCGAAAGCGUAGGUAGCGAACAGG